AGGGUCUACCUUGUUCACAAGCUCCCAAAGACAUCAGCUGAGCGCCCGGCACAGACACCAACCAAGACAAUGCUUGCCACGGUGGAGAGCCUGUCCAGAGCCCAUUUCUCCCCGCCCCCCCCCACUCCCCUCGCAAUAGCGGAGCGUCCUCCGCUUGCCCACCACUGUGACUCUGCGGGAGGGCAGCUGCAAUCUGAGAGCCUUACCUGCGGCAGUGCGAAGACCCAAAGGAAACCGUCUUUCGCUGCCACCAACACCCCGUGCCAUUCCUACGCACCCCUCUAAAGUCCUGUAACCAUCUACUUCUUCCAUCUGUCUGCGAGGAACUGUAAACCGGAUCCCCCCACCCCCGACUGAAUAGAAGCUCUAUUCGGAACUGACUUCUGGAUAUGCCCUAGGUUGAGUUAAAGCGAUGUCUGGAAAGGAAAACGAAGGGGAGGAAAGAAGGAGGGGGCAGCUCAAGCCUUAUCCAAGUUAGUCAGAAGGCGGUAUUUAGGCGGGAAGUGCCUACGGGAGAAACAGCUGGGCUGCACACUGGCCCUGCAGAUCGCAGCUCUAAGAACCGUGUCCUUCGUCCCAGAGGUGCUUCUGAGAAGGCUUACAGAAGGACACAGGUCCGUAAAGACCCUUUACCACCACAUCUACAAAGUUCCUCCUUUUGAAGGUGACCAUCAUGCCUUGAAUGACAAGAACCAAGAACCUCUUAAGUACAAGAAUGAAAAGGCAGGCUGUGUGAUGCAUGCCUCUAAUCUAACAGCUGGAAGGCUACGGAAAGAGGAUCAAGAGUCAAAGGCCAACCUUGGGUGCAUAGUAAGACCCUGCCUCAAACAAACAAAAACCACAACCACCACAAAAGUUCUUUAAUGAUCUCAGAUCGUCAUGUCUGCUUUUGUGUCAGUAGGCGGGGUUGCAUCACUCUGACAUGUGUGGAAUACUUGGACAUCAGGUACUAUUACACUCCCGGCAUUGCUCUUUCUACUAAGAUUGCUUUGACUAUUGGGGGUAUUUUGUGUUUCCAUGUGAAUUUUAGGACUUUUUUUUCUGUGGAGAAAGUUAGAGUUUUGGUGGGGACUGCAGUGACUGUAUAUAGAGACUACUUGUGAAAAUAGAGCCAGUUUCACAAUAUC